CACGUAGGGGGCAAGCGUUGUCCGGAUUCAUUGGGCGUAAAGAGCUCGUAGGCGGUUCGAUAAGUCGGGUGUGAAACCUCCAGGCUCAACCUGGAGACGCCACCCGAUACUGUCGUGACUAGAGUCCAGUAGGGGAGCGUGGAAUUCCUGGUGUAGCGGUGAAAUGCGCAGAUAUCGGGAGGAACACCAGUGGCGAAGGCGACUACCUGGCCUGUUCUUGACGCUGAGGCGCGAAAGCUAGGGGAGCAAACGGG
rnacentral:rRNA from 1 species